rnacentral:lncRNA from 1 species
AAAUAAGUUUUUGUAACAUAUUUGAAGGAAGGAACUCAAAUAAACGCUACAUCCCAGAGAGACUUGAGCCUAAACAUUUAUUUGAAGAGUUAUUAAUCUAUGCAUUCUUGUUUUCUAAAGUUGUUGCAUGAUCUCAUUAUUUUUUGCUUCGUUCCUACUUAGAAUGCGUUCAUCAUUAUAGAUCCAAAUACUAGAACUCAUGCCCGUUCCAUUCAAAGCAUGACAAUGAUUUGCAUAACUCAUAUUCAAGAUGAAGUUGUUUAGUGAACCAAAGUCAAAUAGCCGAAUCCACCCUUGUCAUUUGUUUUGUAUGUUCAAACCUCUUUGAGCCUUGUUUAGCCUAUUUCCUUUGUUAACCACACUCUCCCUACCUAUCCUAGAAUAGGACUUUCCAUACCCUUGUUCUUAAAGUAUAGUGGAGCAUAACUUAGAAGGAAUUCCUUUUGAUGAACGUUAUUGGAGAAAUCAAAUGUGGGGGAAAGGUGUUUCAUGAGAAAUAUGUAUGGUUAGUGUGCCAAAAGAAAUGAAAGGCACAGGUAGAAAUAAAAGAAAAACAAAACAAAACAAAAAUAUGUGAAGAAAAGAAAGAAAAAGAGUUGAAAAUAAGUGAGAAUGAACUCACAAGUGUUGAUUGUUGAAGAAAGGGUCCAAAAGUUUGAAUUUGACCCUAAGUGUUGCAUGAACCUUCCCUUUGUGUUUUAAAGUGGAUUUCUGCAUUCUAAAGUGAAUUCUAAGUGUCAAUUUCAUUACUUUGCUCACUAUUGCUCUAAGAACGUUUGUCUAUCCUUACCUUUCUUUGUUAGCCAAUACCUUAGCCCCGUUACAACCCUUGACUUCCAUCUUGAGUGUUGUGUGUUUCAGUAUGUGGAGUUUGGAAUUGGUAUGAGCAUAUGGAAUCCAUGGUUCUUGCUUCUAAGUAAUAGCAUUCCUUUCAUGAGAUCAUAUAUAUACAUGCAUUAGUAAUUCUAGAAAUUGCUUUCUUUGUUUAAAACAUAUGUGAGUACUAGUUAUCAUGUUUACAUCAAUCUUCUCACAUAUACCUAGUGUAGGGUGUGUAGUCAGAAAAUCUGAGUGAAAAUUAAGUGCAUAUCUACUGGCACACCCCGUCCCGAAGGAGGGUAUGCUGGUUGUCACGUGAGAGUGACGUAACCAUUUACACAGUUCGGAAGCUUUAAAAAAUACAAUUACUAAGAUGAAACACCCGAGGGUGAGUCUUACUUUUAUGAAUUAUGUCAGAACACCGUUGGAUUCCUCGUGGCCACCAAAGCUCUGCUAUCUAGAACCUGAAGGGGCGUAAAACAAAAUUGAGUGGGUCAGUAAAACAAAGUUUUUCGAAAACAUUUCAUUUAAAACAUUUCUAACCCCUCGCUGUAAAACCUGUAUACUUUCCCAGAAAAUAACAUAAUAGCAUAUACCUUCAAAUAUCUCAAAUCAUCAAUCUUUAUCAAAACCAGAAAGUAUGCCAUGCCAUAAUGUCAAAAACAAAAUAUGGAUGCAUCAAUAUAACAGGUGAAAUAAGGAAUCAACCAGAGACCCUGCAGUUGGUCCUGUCGGUUAAUUCUAUAGCUCAAAAUCCAAUCCAACCGGAGUCACCACGGUGACCUGUACGGCGCUACUAUGCACAUAAGUCGGAACUACCUGAAGUAGUAUGUACGACAAGAAUGGUGUAAUAAUACGCUCUAGUGCUUCUCUCAUCAAUCAUCUGUGCACAUAAUCUAAGGUCACCUACCAGUCGGAACCACCUCUAGUGGUCUGUACGACUAGCAUGUCGAAACCCUCUCAUGGUCUGUAUGACAUGCACCUACUUGGAUCCAAGGUGAGCGUGCGAUGCGGUGAAUAAUAUAAGCACUAACACCAGGGAUGCAGGUUAUGAGCUCUCAACACAAUUCACAUCAUCAAUGAUUCACAUGGAUAACAUAAAACUCACCUGAUACUCACCUGUGCGUCCACAACACCAAUUCACAUAUAUAUAUAUAUAUAUCCAUCAAUUAUCAAUUCAUAUAUCUCAUAAUAUGCAUGCAUGGCAUUUUAAAACGUACUUUCAUUUAAACUCAAUUUCUGGGAAAAAUAUCAAUAGUAUAUAGGUAUAAACAGAAAUAUUGCCCACUCAC